rnacentral:rRNA from 1 species
UACGGAGGGGACUAGCGUUGUUCGGAAUUACUGGGCGUAAAGCGCACGUAGGCGGAUUUGUAAGUCAGGGGUGAAAUCCCGGGGCUCAACCUCGGAACUGCCUUUGAUACUGCAAAUCUCGAGUCCGGAAGAGGUGAGUGGAAUUCCUAGUGUAGAGGUGAAAUUCGUAGAUAUUAGGAAGAACACCAGUGGCGAAGGCGGCUCACUGGUCCAUUACUGACGCUGAGGUGCGAAAGCGUGGGGAGCAACAGG